GGGGUGAGUAACGCGUGGGUAACCUGCCCUAUACACAUGGAUAACAUACUGAAAAGUUUACUAAUACAUGAUAAUAUAUAUUUACGGCAUCGUAGAUAUAUCAAAGUGUUAGCGGUAUAGGAUGGACCCGCGUCUGAUUAGCUAGUUGGUGAGAUAACUGCCCACCAAGGCGACGAUCAGUAGCCGACCUGAGAGGGUGAUCGGCCACAUUGGAACUGAGACACGGUCCAAACUCCUACGGGAGGCAGCAGGA
rnacentral:rRNA from 1 species